ensembl:snoRNA SNORD14 Small nucleolar RNA SNORD14
UCGCUGUGAUGAUGCUUUUCCUGCCAUUCGUAGUUUCCACCAGAGGUCUAAUGACCAAAGAUGGUCCAAACCUUCCUUGGAUGUCUGAGCGA